AGAGUUUGAUCCUGGCUCAGGAUGAACGCUAGCUACAGGCUUAACACAUGCAAGUCGAGGGGAAACGACAUCGAAAGCUUGCUUUUGAUGGGCGUCGACCGGCGCACGGGUGAGUAACGCGUAUCCAACCUGCCCACCACUUGGGGAUAACCUUGCGAAAGUAAGACUAAUACCCAAUGACGUCUCUAGAAGACAUCUGAAAGAGAUUAAAGAUUUAUCGGUGAUGGAUGGGGAUGCGUCUGAUUAGCUUGUUGGCGGGGUAACGGCCCACCAAGGCAACGAUCAGUAGGGGUUCUGAGAGGAAGGUCCCCCACAUUGGAACUGAGACACGGUCCAAACUCCUACGGGAGGCAGCAGUGAGGAAUAUUGGUCAAUGGACGAGAGUCUGAACCAGCCAAGUAGCGUGCAGGAUGACGGCCCUAUGGGUUGUAAACUGCUUUUAUAAGGGAAUAAAGUGAGUCUCGUGAGACUUUUUGCAUGUACCUUAUGAAUAAGGACCGGCUAAUUCCGUGCCAGCAGCCGCGGUAAUACGGAAGGUCCGGGCGUUAUCCGGAUUUAUUGGGUUUAAAGGGAGCGUAGGCCGGAGAUUAAGCGUGUUGUGAAAUGUAGAUGCUCAACAUCUGAACUGCAGCGCGAACUGGUUUCCUUGAGUACGCACAAAGUGGGCGGAAUUCGUGGUGUAGCGGUGAAAUGCUUAGAUAUCACGAAGAACUCCGAUUGCGAAGGCAGCUCACUGGAGCGCAACUGACGCUGAAGCUCGAAAGUGCGGGUAUCGAACAGGAUUAGAUACCCUGGUAGUCCGCACGGUAAACGAUGGAUGCCCGCUGUUGGUCUGAAUAGGUCAGCGGCCAAGCGAAAGCAUUAAGCAUCCCACCUGGGGAGUACGCCGGCAACGG
rnacentral:rRNA from 1 species